UUUUCUAUUAUAAUACUAUUAAUGUUUACAAAUUUUUAGGUAACUAUGGAACAGCCAGGGAAAAAGCUAGAAAAGCUGAAUUUACAUCAGAAUUAAAUUCUGAUACUGAGCGAGAGAGAGAAAAUAUCAAAGCCCCAAAGAGAAAAAUUGACUCAAAAAUGUUGUCUUCAUGUUCAGAUGAUUCUGAUGAAGAGUGUAUUAACACUAAAUUACCUACGCCUCCAAUUAUGCAAGAAUUGGAGAGUACAAGUUCUGUAAACACAAAAAGCAACAAGUCUAAAUUAAAAUCACGAAAGUUACCCGAUGAAAAUACAAAUAACAGACGGUUUAUGAUUUAAAUGGUUUUGUGAAUACUUUGAAUGUUAUUUUGCAAAACGAAAAAUCUAAUGGGAAUAAUGAAACAGAACAUGUCCACAAAAAAAAUGCAGAAGAAUAUUUCCAAGAAAUUAUUCGUCAGCAGACAUAUUUCAAGACGCAAUUAUGGCAAAUUGCAGGUGAUUUUAAAGUUAUGAAGGAUAAACUCUUGCAACAAUUUCAUCAACGACCCAAUGAGUAUCAAAGAGAGGAAUCUAUUUUUUCUGUUUUUCAACUUCCUUUUAACACUGUUGAUGACUUAGAACAGCGACUUGAGGAUUUUUUAAACCAAGCGAAAAAUUUUGAAGCAUCGGUUAAAGAAGUAUCUCGAAUUGGAGGAAAAAAUCCUUACGAAUUUAUAAAGCGCAACUGUACUCAUUUAUUGACCAACGAAUUAGCAGAAAAAUAUAGCUGGCUAGGGGCAAGGCAAAAAUGAAAAUUUGCUCCUUUAAAACUUGCUGAUUUGUUAAUUGAUAAGCGC